AAAGUUACUAAAACAAGAAGUAAAAAAGCAAAUAAGAUACAAAUAUGAAUUAAAAUAAGUUUAUACUAUACUCUGCCGUCAGCGGCAAGUGGGGCAGCCGCAUGCGCGUCGCGAGGCGCGUACACGCCGCCAUGAGGCCCUGACGAGUAGGAGGGUCGCGGUGGUGUGCGCAGAAGAGUCUGGGCGCAAGCCUGCCUGGAACCGCCGUCGGUGCAGAUCUUGGUGGUAGUAGCAAAUACUCCAACGAGGCCCUGGAGGACUGACGUGGAGAAGGGUUUCGUGUGAACAGCCGUUGCACACGAGUCAGUCGAUCCUAAGCCCUAGGAGAAAUCCUAUGUCAAUAACGGUGAACGAUACUCUAAUGUCGUGUUCUCGCAACUCUGCAAAUAGAGAGAGAGAGGAGAGAGACACACGCCCGUUGGGCGAAAGGGAAUCUAGUUCCUAUUCCGGAACCCCUCGCAUACAAUUCGGGCCCUCGUAAGAGUGUUCGUCGGGGUAACCCAAAAUGACCUGGAGACGCCGUCGGGAGGUCCGGGAAGAGUUUUCUUUUCUGUAUAAGCGUUCGAGUUCCCUGGAAACCUCUAGAAGGGAGAUAGGGUUUGGAACGCGAAGAGCACCGCAGUUGCGGCUGUGUCCGGAUCUUCCCCUUGGACCUUGAAAAUCCAGGAGGGGGCCACGUGGAGGUGUCGCCCCGGCUCGUACCCAUAUCCGCAGCAGGUCUCCAAGGUAAAGAGCCUCUAGUCGAUAGACUAAU
rnacentral:ncRNA from 1 species